rnacentral:sRNA from 1 species
AACUUUGCUGUCAUUAGGACCCCCUGGGUGGGCCAUAGGUGGCCUGGGGUGGUAUGUGGGGGAGGGUCUUCAGAGGGACUUGAUGGAUCCUGUACCCACCCUCCGUCUUUGGUCUGAAGAAAAUGGGUGGGUCUCUGCUGGUGUCCUUGCAGAGAGAAGCUUGCUCAGAGUGGUUACUGAAAACAGGAACCUGCCCUUCUGCAAGCCCUGUGCCUUCCUCGUUCCUAGCAGAGGAAGUAUGCGGCCAGUUUAGCAACUGCAGUUCUUCUGGGUAGCAUGGGCUGCUUCUCCACAACCGCGAGAGGCCCGGCUGCCUGUUUAUUCUGGAGCAGCAGCAGUUGACAGACGGAGAGGCAGUGACUCUGCACCCAGCAAUCCCUCUGCAGACAGCUCCCACAGGAGUCAUGCCCAGUGUGUGAAGCCCGGACACAGCCCCUUCUGUCACGGAGACUGAACUCUGACUGGCAAGACAGAAC